rnacentral:rRNA from 1 species
UAAAUGUAUGGGGAUCUGCCCGAUAGAGGGGGAUAACUAUUGGAAACGGUGGCUAAUACCGCAUAAUGUCUACGGACCAAAGCAGGGGCUCUUCGGACCUUGCACUAUCGGAUGAACCCAUAUGGGAUUAGCUAGUAGGUGGGGUAAAGGCUCACCUAGGCGACGAUCUCUAGCUGGUCUGAGAGGAUGAUCAGCCACACUGGGACUGAGACACGGCCCAG